rnacentral:rRNA from 1 species
AUUGAAUGGCUCAGUGAGGCGUUCGGACUGGCUCAGGGAGGUCGGCAACGACCACCCAGAGCCGGAAAGUUCGUCAAACUUGGUCAUUUAGAGGAAGUAAAAGUCGUAACAAGGUCUCCGUAGGUGAACCUGCGGAGGGAUCAUU